rnacentral:tRNA from 1 species
CGGGGCGUAGCGCAGCCCGGUAGCGCACUCGCUUGGGGUGCGAGAGGUCGGGGGUUCAAAUCCCCCCGCCCCGACCA